UACGGAGGGGGCUAGCGUUGUUCGGAAUUACUGGGCGUAAAGCGCACGUAGGCGGCUUUGUAAGUUAGAGGUGAAAGCCCGGGGCUCAACUCCGGAAUUGCCUUUAAGACUGCAUCGCUAGAAUUGUGGAGAGGUAAGUGGAAUUCCGAGUGUAGAGGUGAAAUUCGUAGAUAUUCGGAAGAACACCAGUGGCGAAGGCGACACACUGGCCCAUUACUGACGCUGAGGCUCGAAAGCUAGGGGAGCAAACAGG
rnacentral:rRNA from 1 species